rnacentral:lncRNA from 10 species
CAGAAUCAUACACACAGACUCACACAGACACACACACACAGACCCACCCUCACAACACUCACAAUCUCACACAUUCAGUUAUAAUCAUCCCACACUGUCAAUCACAUACACACAUAAUCUCACACAUUCACACACAGUCUCACACACACAGUGUCACACUCACACACCCUCUCACACACAUGCCUGUUUGAAGCCAGAGCC